rnacentral:rRNA from 1 species
AAAUGAAUUGACGGGGGCCCGCACAAGCGGCGGAGCAUGCGGAUUAAUUCGAUGCGACGCGAAGAACCUUACCAAGGCUUGACAUGCACGGGUAAGUUCCAGAGAUGGUUCCCCCGUAAGGUCCGUGCACAGGUGGUGCAUGGUUGUCGUCAGCUCGUGUCGUGAGAUGUUGGGUUAAGUCCCGCAACGAGCGCAACCCUUGUCUCAUGUUGCCAGCAAUUCGGUUGGGGACUCAUGAGAGACUGCCGGGGUCAACUCGGAGGAAGGUGGGGAUGACGUCAAAUCAUCAUGCCCCUUAUGUCUUGGGCUUCACGCAUGCUACAAUGGCCGGUACAAAGGGCUGCGAAACCGUGAGGUGGAGCGAAUCCCAAAAAGCCGGUCUCAGUUCGGAUUGGGGUCUGCAACUCGACCCCAUGAAGUCGGAGUCGCUAGUAAUCGCAGAUCAGCAACGCUGCGGUGAAUACGUUCCCGGGCCUUGUACACACCGCCCGU